GCGUGGGGAAUCUGCCUUUGAGCGGGGGACAACCUUUAGAAACGAAUGCUAAUACCGCAUAAAAACUUUAAACACAAGUUUUAAGUUUGAAAGAUGCAAUUGCAUCACUCAAAGAUGAUCCCGCGUUGUAUUAGCUAGUUGGUGAGGUAAAGGCUCACCAAGGCGAUGAUACAUAGCCGACCUGAGAGGGUGAUCGGCCACAUUGGGACUGAGACACGGCCCAAACUCCUACGGGAGGCGGCAGUAGGGAAUCUUCGGCAAUGGACGAAAGUCUGACCGAGCAACGCCGCGUGAGUGAAGAAGGUUUUCGGAUCGUAAAACUCUGUUGGUAGAUAAGAACGUUGGUGAGAGUGGAAAGCUCAUCAAGUGACGGUAACUACCCAGAAAGGGACGGCUAACUACGUGCCAGCAGCCGCGGUAAUACGUAGGUCCCGAGCGUUGUCCGGAUUUAUUGGGCGUAAAGCGAGCGCAGGUGGUUUAUUAAGUCUGGUGUAAAAGGCAGUGGCUCAACCAUUGUAUGCAUUGGAAACUGGUAGACUUGAGUGCAGGAGAGGAGAGUGGAAUUCCAUGUGUAGCGGUGAAAUGCGUAGAUAUAUGGAGGAACACCGGUGGCGAAAGCGGCUCUCUGGCCUGUAACUGACACUGAGGCUCGAAAGCGUGGGGAGCAAACAGGAUUAGAUACCCUGGUAGUCCACGCCGU
rnacentral:rRNA from 1 species